rnacentral:snRNA from 1 species
UAUUGUAUCGGCAGUACAUAUACUAAAAUUGGAAUGAUACAGAGAUUAGCAUGACCCCUGCGUGAGGAUG